AUGAGCAGUGUGCCUAUAGAUUCAGACGUCCUUUCCUUGACCUCCACCAACGUCCCGCUCCUGGUCCCUAGAAAACUUGUGGUGGCUCACACGCCUGGCAUUCCUAAACGGUAUGAGCUUCUCUUGAAGCAUUUGACUUAUCUUUUGUGCUGUGACAAUGAAGGGAAGUCUUAUGUCUGUUGCUCGAAUCAAAGGAUCAUGUUUCUAAGGUGGAGUAAGGCAGACAUGUGCCUGUUUUUUGAGUGGGAAGAAGAGGAGGAGCAGAUGAUUUGCUGGAUGCAUGAUAUUGCCAACAAUGUCUGCAUGAAGUUCCUUCUUAAUCCAGCAAUAAUACAUGGAAAAAAUUUCAUCACAGCCAAACGACCCGCAAUUGCUUUUUCAUCCGAUUUGAGUAACACUGAAGUGAAAAAAAGGCUCAUUACUAUCUUUGGCUCUUCAGAGAAUGAAGAUUUACUAAAAAGUGAUCAUCUAUUUGUUUUCACCACAACUGGAUCUUCAUUAUGUUUCAGGAAUUUCAAGGUUGGUCCAUUUUUCAGUUUGAAGCUUUUAGAUUCACAGGGAGACUUGAAGCAAGAUUUUGACUUGUCCCAAAAUCAGAUUGGUGAAACGCUGGAGUUAUGUUCAGCUGUGUACUAUGGCUCAAGUGAUUGUUCAGGGUCAUAUACACCUCAUCAUGUUGAGUUGCAUGGGCGAACAUUCACAGUUCUUCUAAGGAAUGAUCACAAGCUAACACUGGCAGGGCAGUACGAGGGGUUCAAUGCUUCACUCCUUGAUCUACUGUCGAAGGAACCUGCUCUAAAGAGAAAACAUAUAAUUGGGUCUUCCACCAGCAAGCAGCAUGUCUUCAUUAGAAAUAGGUUCCUAUCUAUCCUUCAGUCUGUGGUGCUUGAAUAUGUGAAUCUAUUUGCAUCAGGAAGUUGUUUUGCAUCAGAUAUAAAGUUGGACAAUGUCCUCAUAAGAGGACAUCAAAUUAAGAUAUAUGGGCUUAUGGUCAGUAAAUAUGCAAAUGAAUUGGCAGUGGGAAACGUGAGACAGCUUGAGUUCCUUAUUAGGUCCUGCUUCCCUUCAACGCUGAUACCUGAGGAAUUGGAGGAUGCACUUAAUUUUGCGGUCCAGCCUGUGUUGGAUGGUAAAGAUCCGUUGACCUGCUUGCAAGCAUUGAGUGAUGACCCAGUGUGGCUUACACCAGAACACAGAAGGACACUUCUGAUUAACCAUCAUAGUGAAUUUAUGACGAAUGUCAACAUAAGGGAUGAGCUUAGUGAUGAAGAUGCUCUCAAGUUCAAGAAAGAUUUCUUUGUAGCUUGCCCUUAUAUAGAUACAUGGAGUGAGAUUACCAUGGACAAUGAGUACUUGGUUGAGGUGGGAGAAGAUGAGGAAAUUGCCAAGGAAGUUGAUGGUAUGGAGGAUGUAGAAGAAGAUGCAAUUGCAAUAAAAAAGAGAAGCCAAAAGAAGCACAAAAUGAGGCAAGCUAGCAAGGGUGUAAAGAAGAGGCAGAAGAGGCGAAAAGACGGCAAUAAAGGCACGAUUCAGCUCAACUUUAAGAGAAAUUUUUUGAUGCAUAUGCCUGAAAAGGCAAACAAGGAUGGUAUCAUUCCUUUUCGGUUGGGCCUGUCAGAUAGGAUCCUAACAUCCUACUACCCACUGUAUCUUGCUUUCAUUCAUAGGAAAAUGUCAUCAAGGCGAAAAUUGAAGAAGAGGAAGAAAUAA
rnacentral:rRNA from 1 species